rnacentral:rRNA from 1 species
AACGAACGCUGGCGGCAUGCCUAACACAUGCAAGUCGAACGAGACCUUCGGGUCUAGUGGCGCACGGGUGCGUAACGCGUGGGAACCUGCCCUUAGGUUCGGAAUAACUCCCCGAAAGGGGUGCUAAUACCGGAUAAUGUCUUCCGACCAAAGAUUUCUCGCCUUUGGAUGGGCCCGCGUUGGAUUAGCUAGUUGGUAGGGUAAAAGCCUACCAAGGCGACGAUCCAUGGCUGGUCGGAUAGGAUGAUCAGCCACGCUGGGACUGCGACACGGCCCAGACUCGGACGGGAGGGAGCAGUAGGGAAUAUUAGACGAGGGGCGAAAGCCUGACCAAGCAAUGCCGCGUGAGUGAUGCAGGCCUUAGGGUUGUAAAGCCCUUUUACCCGGGAUGAUAAUGACAGUACCGGGAGAAUAAGCUCCGGCUAACUCCGUG